rnacentral:rRNA from 1 species
GACGAACGCUGGCGGCGUGCUUAACACAUGCAAGUCGAACGGAAAGGCCCUGCUUUUGUGGGGUGCUCGAGUGGCGAACGGGUGAGUAACACGUGAGUAACCUGCCCUUGACUUUGGGAUAACUUCAGGAAACUGGGGCUAAUACCGGAUAGGAGCUCCUGCUGCAUGGUGGGGGUUGGAAAGUUUCGGCGGUUGGGGAUGGACUCGCGGCUUAUCAGCUUGUUGGUGGGGUAGUGGCUUACCAAGGCUUUGACGGGUAGCCGGCCUGAGAGGGUGACCGGCCGCAUUGGGACUGAGAUACGGCCCAGACGCCUACGGGAGGCAGCAGUGGGGAAUAUUGCACAAUGGGCGGAAGCCUGAUGCAGCAACGCCGCGUGCGGGAUGACGGCCUUCGGGUUGUAAACCGCUUUCGCCUGUGACGAAGCGUGAGUGACGGUAAUGGGUAAAGAAGCACCGGCUAACUACG